ensembl:lncRNA
AUGAAAUCUAUGCAUUCUACUCAAUCACUUUUUAUAGCUACUGUUUACAGGCCUCCUGGGCCAUAUACAGCGUUCCUCAUUGAGUUCCCUGAAUUCCGAUCGGACCUUGUAGUCAUAGCAGAUAAUAUUCAAAUUUUUGGUGACUUUAAUAUUCACAUGGAAAAUUCCACAGACCCACUCCAAAAGGCUUUCGGAGCCAUCAUCGACUCAGUGGGUUUUGUCCAACAUGUCUCUGGACCUACUCACUGUCACACUCAUACUGGGGGAGGCAGGGUAGCCUAGUGGUUAGAGCGUUGGACUAGUAACCGAAAGGUUGCAAGUUCCAAUCCCCGAGCUGACAAGGUACAAAUCUGUCGUUCUGCCCCUGAACAGGCAGUUAACCCACUGUUCCUAGGCCGUCAUUGAAAAUAAGAAUUUGUUCUUAACUGACUUGCCUAGUAAAAUAAAGGUAAAAUUAAAUACUCUGGACCUAGUUUUGUCCCAUGGAAUAAAUGUUGUGGAUCUUAAUGUUUUUCCUCAUACCACCAUUUUAUUACGUUUUUAAUUGCAACAAAUAAUCUGCUCAGACCCCAACCAAGGAGCAUCAAAAGUCGUGCUAUAAAUUCACAGACAACGCAAAGAUUCCUUGAUGCCCUUCCAGACUCCCUCUGCCUACCCAAGGAUGUCAGAAGACAAAAAUCAGUUAACCACCUGACUGAGGAACUCAAUUUAACCUUGCGCAAUACCCUAGAUGCAGUUGCACCCCUAAAAACGAAAAACGUUUCUCGUAAGAAACUAGCUCCCUGGUAUACAGAAAAUACCCGAGCUCUGAAAAUUCCAGAAAAUUGGAACGGAAAUGGCGCCACACCAAACUGGAAGUCUUCCGACUAGCUUGGAAAGACAGUACCGUGCAGUAUCGAAGAUCCCUUACUGCUGCUCGAUCAUCCUAUUUUUCCAACUUAAUUGAGGAAAAUAAGAACAAUCCAAAAUGUAUUUUUGAUACUGUCGCAAAGCUAACUAAAAAGCAGCAUUCCCCAAGUGAGGAUGGCUUUCACUUCAGCAGUAAUAAAUUAAUGAUAUUCGUUGAGGAAAAGAUCAUGAUUAUUAGAAAGCAAAUUACAGACUCCUCUUUAAAUCUGCGUAUUCCUUCAAUGCUCAGUUGUCACAACUCUGCCAGGACCCUUUUUCUCCCCAAUUUCGUGGUAUCAGAAUUGUUAGUAGCUGCUAUCUUGUCUCAUCGCUACAACUCCCAUACGGGCUCGGGAGAGACAAAGGUUGAAAGUCAUGCAUCCUCCAAUACACAACCCAACCAAGCUAAACUGCUUCUUAAUCUUAACACAGCACGCAUCCAACCCAGAAGCCAGCCGCACCAAUGUGUUGGAGGAAACACUGUGCACCUGGCAACCUUGGUUAGCGUGCAUUGCGCCCGGCCCGCCACAGGAGUCACUGGUGCGUGAUGAGACAAGGAUAUCCCUACCAGCCAAACCCUCCCUGAUGAUGCUGCUAGGCCAAUUGUGCGUCGCCCCACGGACAGGGCACGAACCCAGUGUCUCUGGUGGCACAGCAGUACAGCGCCCUUAACCACUGUGCUACCCGGGAGGCCCUAAACUUUCUACUUUUAAACUCGGACAAAACAGAGAUGCUUGUUCUAGGUCCCAAGAAACAAAGAGAUCUUCUGUUGAAUCUGACAAUUAAUCGUAAUGGUUGUACAGUCGUCUCAAAUAAAACUGUGAAGGACCUCGGCGUUACUCUGGACCCUGAUCUCUUUUUUGACGAACAUAUCAAGACUGUUUCAAGGACAGCUUUUUUUCAUCUACGUAACAUUUCAAAAAUCAUUAACUUUCUGUCCAAAAAUUAUGCAGAAAAAUUAAUCCAUGCUUUUGUUACUUCUAGGUUAGACUACUGCAAUGCUCUACUUCCGGCUACCCGGAUAAAGAACUAACUAGAAUCCUGACUAGAACCAAACAAUUUGAUCAUAUUACUUCAGUGCUAGCCUCCCUACACUGGCUUCCUGUCAAUGCAAGGGCUGAUUUCAAGGUUUUUACUGCUAACCUACAAAGCAUUACAUGGGAUUGCUCCUACCUAUCUCUCUGAUUUGGUCCUGCCGUACAUACCUACACGUACGCUACGGUCACAAGACGCAGGCCUCCUAAUUGUCCCUAGAAUUUCUAAGCAAACAGCUGGAGUCAGGGGUUUCUCCUAUAGAGCUCCAUUUUUAUGGAAUGGUCUGCCUACCCAUGUAGAGACGCAAACUCGGUCUCAACGUUUAAGUCUUAACUGAAGACUCAUCUCUUCAGUGGGUCAUAUGAUUCAGUGUAGCAUGGCCCAGGAGUGUGAAGGUGAACGGAAAGGCUCUGGAGCAACUAACCGCCCUUGCUGUCUCUGCCUGGCCGGUGUUUCCCCUCUUGCCACUGUGAUUCUCUGCCUCUAACCCUAUUACAGGGUCUGAGUCACUGGCUUACUGGUGCUCUUUCAUGUUGUCCCUAGGAGGGGUGCGUCACUUGAGUGGGUUGAGUCACUAAUGUGAUCUUCCUGUCUGGGUUGGCGCCCCCCCUUGGGUUGUGCCGUGGCGGAGAUCUUUGUGGGCUAUACUCGGCCUUGUCUCAGGAUGGUAAGUUGAUGGUUGAAUAUAUCCCUCUAGUGGUGUGGGGGCUGUGCGUUGGCAAAGUGGGUGGGGUUAUAUCCUUCCUGUUUGGCCCUGUCCGGGGGUAUCAUCGGAUGGGGCCACAGUGUCUCCUGACCCCUCCUGUCUCAGCCUCAAGUAUUUAUGCUGGAGUAGUUUGUGACGGUGGGCUAGGAUCAGUUUGCUAAAUCUGGAGUACUUCUCCUGUCUUAUCCGGUGUCCUGUGUGAAUUUAAGUAUGCUCUCCUUAAUUCUCUCCUUCUCUCUUUCUUUCUCUCUCUCGGAGGACCUGAGCCCUAGGACCAUGCCUCAGGACUACCUGGCAUGAUGACUCCUUGCUGUCCCCAGUCCACCUGGCCGUGCUGCUUCUCCAGUUUCAACUGUUCUGCCUGCAGAUAUGGAAUCCUGGCCUGUUCACCGGACGUGCUACCUGUCCCAGACCUAUUAUUUGACCAUGCUGGGAAAACCCGUAGAAGCCUUAAGACACGGAUCAGUGAGCACCGCAGCAACAUACCGACAGGAAGUGAUGUCACCGAGUAAUGCCUAUGUAUAUUAGGACCUUCCACCCCCACCUGGGAUAUGGAUGCCUGAUGCAGACCUAAGGGUCAAAAUGUUGUUAUAAAUAAAUAUCACCUGGGAGUAUGAGCAGCAUUUUCCUUCCCGUUUUUCUUAGAAUGCUGCCCUCCCUUAACUAUCCACUGUCUUGCAUAAUACUAUUCUGCAUCUUACAUUUAUGACCAUUGAAAGUGCUAUUUCCUGCUGAUAUUUCAAUUAUAAAGUUACAAUGGAGAGUGAUAGAAGAUAAGGAGGAUUGUUUGGUGACGAGACUGGAUCCUGUCUUUUAUCUGUAGAUAAUGAUUAGACAAGGUGACCCCAUUCAUGUCCUGUAGUCCAAUACAAUGACCCAAGUGUUACCAUUGUGCUAUAGAGCCCCACAGUGGAGGUGUCAUAAUACCCAUAAAACCUAGCGGUCAAACAGGGAAGUGGUUCCAAUUUUUUGUUUUACCCCAUUAUUUUUUUUCCACGGGGGAUUUUAGAACCACUUGAAAUAAGUGUUUCCUGUAGGCUCAAGAUGGCUCACCCAUCUUUUUGUUCAGUGCAUGUUCAAUAUACCAGGAACAGUGUUAUUUGGGUUGUUAAUCGGAUUCGUUCCGACAUUUCUUGAUGAGUUUUUUUUUAAAGUAUUUGUACGUUUUUGGGGGGUAUUAUUUGUGUGCUGUUU